rnacentral:rRNA from 1 species
CCUACGGGUGGCAGCAGUCGAGAAUUAUUCACAAUGGGGGAAAGCCUGAUGGUGCGACGCCGCGUGCGGGAAUGAAGGUCUUCGGAUUGUAAACCGCUGUCAUGUGGGAGCAAAUCAAAAAGAUAGUACCACAAGAGGAAGAGACGGCUAACACGGUGCCAGCAGCCGCGGUAAUACAGCGGUCUCAAGCGUUAUUCGGAAUCACUGGGCGUAAGGGGUGCGUAGGCUGUUUCGUAAGUCGUGUGUGAAAGGCCCGGGCUCAACCCGCGGACGGCACAUGAUACUGUGGGACUAGAGUUAUGGUGGGGGAACCGGAAUGCUCGGUGUAGCAGUGAAAUGCUUAGAGAUCG